rnacentral:rRNA from 1 species
GACGAACGCUGGCGGCGUGCCUAAUACAUGCAAGUUGAGCGCUGAAGGUUGGUACUUGUACCGACUGGAUGAGCAGCGCACGGGUGAGUAACGCGUGGGGAAUCUGCCUUUGAGCGGGGGACAACAUUUGGAAACGAAUGCUAAUACCGCAUAAAAACUUUAAACACAAGUUUUAAGUUUGAAAGAUGCAAUUUCAUCACUCAAAGAUGAUCCCGCGUUGUAUUAGCUAGUUGGUGAGGUAAAGGCUCACCAAGGCGAUGAUACAUAGCCGACCUGAGAGGGUGAUCGGCCACAUUGGGACUGAGACACGGCCCAAACGCCUACGGGAGGCAGCAGUAGGGAAUCUUCGGCAAUGGACGAAAGUCUGACCGAGCAACGCCGAGUGAGUGAAGAAGGUUUUCGGAUCGUAAAACUCUGUUGGUAGAGAAGAACGUUGGUGAGAGUGGAAAGCUCAUCAAGUGACGGUAACUACCCAGAAAGGGACGGCUAACUACGUG